UCCGAAUUGGUGUAGUGGCUAACAUUUGACGCUCUCAUGUUGUUGUCCUUGUGAUAACAGGUGAAGUCCCGUCAAGCCCGGGGUUCGAUUCCCCGAUUCGGAG